UUAAAAAGCUCGUAGUUGGAUUUCGGAAUGGGCCAGUUGGUCCGCCUCACGGUGUGUUACUGGCUGGUCUGUUCUUCUUCGCAAAGACUGCGUGUGCUCUUUACCGAGUGUGCGUAGGACUUACGACGUUUACUUUGAAAAAAUUAGAGUGUUCAAAGCAGGCCUACCGCUUGAAUACAUGAGCAUGGAAUAAUGGAAUAGGACUUUGGUCUUAUUUUGUUGGUUUCUAAGACCGAAGUAAUGAUUAAGAGGGACAGUUGGGGGCAUUCGUAUUUCGUUGUCAGAGGUGAAAUUCUUGGAUUUACGAAAGACGAACAACUGCGAAAGCAUUUGCCAAGAAUGUUUUUCAUUAAUCAAGAACGAAAGUUAGAGGAUCGAAGACGAUCAGAUACCGUCCUAGUUCUAACCAUAAACGAUGUCAACUAGGGAUCAGUGGGCGU
rnacentral:rRNA from 1 species